ACAGAAUCAAUAACAACAGGCUAACAUAAUUACACUGUAGAGGGCAGAUUGUGUCGGCUAUUACUUUAUUAAGAAAGAACAACAUGUGUGAAAGAACAGCAUCCUGCAAGGACGGAAGACUCGAGAGAAUGCAGGAAAGAGGGCAAGGCGGUUCACAAAUAUGCUGAAUCGAAAGAAUCAGGAUCACACCCUGAAACAGCAGGAAAAUGAAUGUUUGCUUUCUCUGGCUUAUUAUUUGCUUAGUGAGACUUCGGCGUUUCUAAAAGAUAAAUGCCUUGGCUGUUGUUCUAUCAGUCUCUCUGCUUUAUUUAAUUUUACAAAGAGGAAUGCUCAGAUGUUAAAAUAUUUGUUCUCUUUUCACUUAGGAUUUGCUUCAUUUUCUACUCAACAUGGAAUGACCCUCCGAGUUGUCUCCACUCCAGUAGGCUGUCCAGUAAAUUCUGUCUGCCAUGGUUCUUCUGGACGUCUAACUCCAUCUCCUUAACUCAGGGAGUCCUUUCCCUGGGUUCCCUGCAACCCGCCCCGUCUCUUCAGUACAGCCUGGAAAUGCUCUUCUGACGACACUCCUUAGGGUAAAGACAGACAACUGCCCAGGGAAAGGAUAGCUGAUUUGGGAACAAGGCUCUGACGGGGACUUUUCCUCAGGGUGCUUCAUAAAGAAGACACUGGGAGGUCGUGCUCAACUUCGUUGGCAGCAGGUAUCCUAAAUCCACUCCUGUGGCCUUAGCAGGCAUGGCUGCCCAGUGACCAGCCUGUGUUUAAUCAUCAGCCUGCUGAGGUGAUUUAUUUUGUAUCUUGUAUUUUUUAUUUUAUUUGUUUGCCUUCUGCUGAGUUCUGACCAGGCAGCGGUCCAUGUAACAAAAAGAUGAUAACAUUAUGAGAAGAGAACACGUGUAGAAUGUUAGCGGUGACUCAACAAGAGCUGGAGAUUUCUAAAAGACAGGGUGAGAAUACGUGAUGUUUAGAAACCACAAAUGGGACCCCUCUUCGGGUGGAAGCAUAUUUCCAAUCAAUCUGAACUAUGUGCUGUUGCAUGGGAAUAGACUUUUGAGAAGUAUGGGAUGAGGUGAUGAAGAAAAUUUACUGUGCUUAGGGAAGGCAAAUGAUUGGUAAAGCAUCUUAUCUAGGGUAGUUAAAAUACAUACACACACCAUACUUUGAUCAAUUCAGCCUAGGCACAGGGGCAUAAUUGACAUACCAGAGUCAACAAGGUAAAGAGUAGAAUAGGGGAAUCAGUUGUGGCAUAUUCAUACAAUGGCAUACAGCCACGUGCCAUAACAUGAGUUAAUCUCACAAACAUGUUGAGACCAAGAAAGAAGCCAGACAUAAAGGACUAUAGAUUUUCGAAUUCCAUUUAUAUGGAGUUCCAAACUAAGUAAAACUUAACAAGAGUAUUAGAACCUGGGAUCAUGGUUAACUUUGGGGAGAAGGGUGGGUGUUUUGCCUGAUAAAAGACAUAAGCAAUAUUUCUGGGGGUGUCAGUAAUAUUCUCUCUCUACAUCUUAGUGAUGGUAACAUUGGCAUUUGCUCUGAGAAAUUCAUUGUGUGAUUCAUUGAACUUCACAAUUACGUUCUGUGUACUUUUCUAUAUGUGUGUUUUAUUAAAAAACCAGAAAGAAAACUUUAUUUAAAAUUUUGAAUAGUGAAAAAUAUUUUAAAGCUCAGUUUUUAAAAUCAAAACAUGUUUAUUUUUAAAAUUAAAAGUGUAUACAGUUAUCCUACAGACAAUGGAAAGCAAUGUUAACUAUUUAACUAGAAUUUUGGAGGACAUUCUGCAAACACUCCCUUCACCUAAAUAUAUAUGUAUAAAAUGAAUAGAAUGUCAACUAUAAGUAGUUUCUGGCUAUCAAUGGAACGACUUAAGGUUAAUUGUAUAACUUGGUGUAUUUUUUUAGUGUUAUAAUGGGGAACUAAAUGUGUUUCAGAGAGUAAAACACUGAAAGAUUCAUUCGGGACCCUUGGUGAAUGAAGGGGUUUUGCUUUGUGUUCAGUUCUAUAUCUCCAGUUCUCAGAACAAUGUUUACGACAUAAUAGGUGCCAGGUAAAUAGCUGUUGAAAAAGAGUAAAUGUGUAUUUGAGUAUUUUGCUCUCUGAGAGGAGAAGAUGGUGACCGUACUAGGGUGUGGCUGACAAUCUUACUUCAUGUCUAUUAAAUGCAGUGUUGCAAUUGUAAAUAAGUCUUAGCCUACUGGACAUUUUUGUCAUUCUCGUUGCCUUGGGAACAGAGAUGAGGCAGAAGAAAACAACACUGGCCAAAGGCAAGGGUGUGGAACAGCCUGGCUCUGAGUGGGGAAGAGUGAGUAAGGAAUUCCUUUUGGCUGAAGGGUAAGGGUUGGGGGGAAGGGAGGGAGUUAAGGAUGGAAGAUGGUAGAAAUCAUAAAGUUAGGAUAAGGCCACUGUGUGACAUUCAACAUCAAAUGAUAGCUCCACCCUUUUCAUUUGCGCUCACACACGCCUGCAUGCCAUCAUUCCGGCCCCUAGUGCCACAGUGAAGGCCAAUGAGAUGAACGGGCCCCAUGGUAGUUUAUGUUCAAUUUUCCUAAAACCUGCAAAGCUUUUUCUAGAAUGUAUCUGGGUGUCUAGAGAACAUCAAGAUAACUGGGAGAAAAAGGAUCUGAUUGCUGCUGUGUGGUACUAAAUGCUUGAUUUACUCUUUCAUUCAUUCAAAAUGGGUCUACUUUUCAAUGAGUAAAUGUCUGAAGGUUGCAGGCAUCUCCAAGACUCAGUCUUAGCUCUGGCCAUCGCUCAAAACCACAAGACUUUUGGGGCACCUGGGUGGCUCAGUUGGUUAAGCAUCAAACUUCGGCUCAGGUCAUGAUCUCAUGGCUUGUAGGUUCGAGCCCCGUUCAGGCUCUGUGCUGACAGCUCAGCCUGGAGCCUGCUUCUGAUUCUGUGUCUCCCUCUCUCUCUUUGCCCCUCCCUCGCCUACGCUCUGUCUCUGUCUCUCUCUCUCUCUCAAAAAUGAAUAAACGUUAAAAUAUAAACAAACAAACAAAAAAAACUGCAAGACUUUUGAGUCAGCCUGGUGGUAUUCUAACUGGUUUGGCAAGGUCUUCUCUAUGUGUCUUAACAACUAUCAGAAAGAACGCAUAACCACAAGAGUGCCUCCUGGAAUGCCUUGAUUUCAUGCAUCGUAAUAAAAUGAAUCAUGUACGCUUAAGGAAAGGAUUUAAAAAAUGUAAAGGAAGCAGCACAAGCCCAAAUGACGCUGCUACCAUUGAGCAGUGCUGAACACGCAGUUACAUGCUGAACGAUAGGGAUUAACAAAUCAGGCCGAAUGCUCGUGAGAAAACGGUCCUCUAAUUAAAUAAAAGGAGAAUCCGAGUUUCUUGUUGCAGGGAUUGUUGGUGGGAUUAAAGGAUUGUUCUGGAGCCCAGUGCACAGAAUGAGAGACCUGGCGGCCUGCCUCAGAGCUCUGCAGCCCCCACCUGCUGAGACGCCCCAAGCCCUGAGACCAACUUGGUUUCACUAAGUGGGAGGAUUAAGACAGAUCUUGACCAUCGCUCCCCCUUUGGUCAGCAAAGAAAAAGAAAAAGAAAAUGAGGAAAACAGCUCAUUUUUCACUUGUCAUUUCACGGAAUGAGUCUAAGACCCAGGCCUCAUGCCCAGUGUUUGCCUCUUCUUGGUGACAUCCCCAGAAAGGAGGAGCCUGACUUCCUUGAAGACCGCUGCUCAAAACCUCUCAAAACAUUUUAUUUCAUGUUUACAUUUUUUGGGAUAUCCAUACUAUAUUCAGAAUACACUUAUUUCCUCUACCUUUAACUCUUUCACUUUAUAAUUCAUCCCCAGGCAAUUCGUUUCAAAUUUGCCCUAUUCCAUGUAGGAGCUCUUUAUAUUGAAAACAGUUAUUCUGUCUCAUAAAAUCUCUCUUCUUUAGGUCGAAAGCAUUCAGCUUUUUCAGCCAUUCUUCCCGAGGCACUAUUUUAAGUCUUUUCACUAUUUUGGUAAUCUUCACUGAACAUUUUCCUGAUUGCCUGAAUCUUUUAGGACCUAGAACCAUAAAUGGAAUAAAUAUUAUAGAAAGGACCUGAUUAAUAUACAGUAAAAUUAAAUGAUCAAUUUCCACAUACAGGAUACUAAAUCUUUAUUAAUUCAGUCUAACCCUACAUUUGUUUUUCAGGCCUUCCUGCUGCUGUUACCUGUUAUACCCAAUCGCACAGGAAUUAAUUGCUUGUAUUGUUUUAAAUUUGUACAUUAUUUAAAUUUUGCUUCAGACUAGCUCUGUUUCAUAUUUUGAGUCAUAUUUUUCCUCUGUUCUGCUUUCAUCAUCUGUUUUUAUUUUAUUUUAUUUUAUUUUGUUUUGUUUUGUUUUAUUUUAUUUUGUUAUGUUAUUUUAUUUUAGUGUACUUAUUUUGGAAGCUCCCUCAAAGACUUUUGGAAAUGAAAUGGAGUAUAAACAAGUAAUAUAUGAAACACUGUAGCCAAUCAUUCUUAUUUCUCAAAGUUACAGAGAGCAAUGUUAUUUUCUUCAAGCCAGCCUGGAUUAAAGGUUCACAUUUCAGUAUUCCUGUGGCAGCCUAUCAAUUCAUAUUUAUUUACAGAAAUGAGUCCCAUGGAGAUGUUUGCUAGUGAACAUGUUGUUUUUCUAACUUUCUGUGUGUGUAUAUACACUCAUAUGUGUGUUUAUAAAUAUAUAGAGGUCUAUACAUAUUAAAUGAACAUGCAUUCCUUGCAACGUUAUCUAAUCCAGAAUUCUCAAGGUUUUCAGCUGUCGGUUUCAUUGCCUUAGAAUAGAGUUUAUUGCCAUCUGCUCCUGUCCCAUUCUUCAACUCUGUAAUUAUGUUUUCAUGAGUUAAUUUUAUCCGAAAGCUCAAGAGCUCCAUUUUGCCUUAUAUCAAAUCAUCUGGUAAAUAACCAGGUCAAGCCCAGCACCAAGAACACUGGUAAAUUCUCUUCUGGAAUUUAGAUGGUGUCGGGCAGAGUCUGACCAGAGAAAAAGAACCACUAGGAGUGAUAUAGAAUAAACUGUCUUUUUACAGAAAUUUAACCAUUCACAGUUAUGGGAGGAGGUUAAGAGGUUUAUGGGCAGCUGUUGUUUCUAACACCGCGGCCGGAGUCUGAAGCCAGCGAGGCAGGCAGUCAAGAAGGAAAGACAGACGUGAAGCAGGAGAGGGGGAAAAAAAGACAAACAAAUGCAAGAGGAUGAGUUGGAAUCCCCAACGACAAACUGAAGGGCCCAGCAGCCUGUGUCUCGAGCCUCCAGCUUCAAUGAUGUGAACAACCCACCGGAGAAACCUGUGCUUCCUCGCGGUGCUAAGCACGCAUUGGCUUGGGAGCUGGGAAGCUAAAAGGGGCUGUGUUUGGGGACCUGAAGGGCCCAUGUGCCUGGCUUCUGCCCAAACCCACUUGUGUAUGUGCUGACCUUCAGAGCUUUAAAAGAAUAUGGUUUAUGCUUAAUUUCCAAAUGCCACUAUAUGUAUUUCUUGUGGCCCAUGCUAACAUGGAAUUAUGCAAUGGAAACAAUCCUGAUAAACAUAGUUCCUGCUCAGUUCAAUUGACUCAGCAUCAAUGUGCCACAUAGAUUAUCCACCCAAGCCAUUUCUCCCUAGAGACAGUCUGAAUUAAGAGUCUUAGAGUUUUGUCUUAUUUAUUUAUUUUUUCCCCAUCCUAAAUCCUUGUCAGGUUCUUCUGGCCCAAUUCCCAGCUGUGUCUUGGGGAGGACAGGCAUGGUGGCUUCUUCCUGAGCACCGCAGUCCCAAGUUCAGAAAGAGAUCAUGUUGCGGAGGAUGGGAGAAAGCCCUGGCGGGAUCACAGCCUUUCCCAGAUUGGGUUGUUUCUGCCCCCCUUGCGGUUGGGGCAGCCGCCUGGUUCUCAUGGCAGUUCCCAAGUAAACAGCCCUUACUUCCUGGCUUUCUCUACUCAGGGUGGCAGGGGGAUGUGUCCACCUCUGCAGCAGCCUUCCUGUGUUGACAACACUGUUUGUUCUUCCCGUCUCCCCAGGGAGAAGCUGCCUUAUCUUUUCUGUGCAACAUAUUUGGGAAAAACACAUUUUUCUCUCUUAAAGGAAUUGAUUAUUGUUUCUUAAGACUAAAAAGAAAAGCCUUUCUGGAUCCAAACACUGACUUAAAAAGAUAACCUAAAUUCCACUUACAGAGCAAGAGAAAAAUUUGUACUAGUGGUGACUGGUGGUACAUUUUGGAUCAUUCUGUGCACUUAAAAUAUACUGUGUGUGUGUGUGUGAGAGAGAGAGAGAGAGAGAGAUAGAGAGAGAGAGAGAGAGAUUUGAAAUAUUUUUCAAACAUCAGACCUACAGUUUUUGGUUUAAAUAAACUGGGAAUUUGUAGGUGUUUGUUGAGGUGUUUGUAACGAUAACCUUUGUGAGACAGAAGUUUAAAAAAUAUAUUUAAUAUAAACAUAUGUUAAAAUAUGUACAUUUGCAAUUACAGAAAAUUCAUCACUACCUUUGUGUUUCAACUGUUUUUUUUUUUUUUCAGGUGGAUUCCCAUCUUUCAUUUAUUACAGAGAGCUACAGGAAUUUCCUCUCCGCAAUAGGAUUCUAUGUGCAGGACUAUUGUAGCAUGGGAGUCACGUGGAGCUGUGACGAUGGCACUAAGAAAAAUCCGGAGUUAAAAAAACUCACCUGGAUCUAUUGAACUACACUGCCACCUGCUAGGCUGUGACAUUGGGAAAAAUACUCAACCUCUCUGGUGUCGAUUUCAUCAUGAUAAAAUGGGAAUAAUGAUCAAUCUAAUGUCAUGAAGUUGUUGGGAGAAUUCAGUGAUUUGAAUUAUAUAGGGCAAUUAGCUACUGUAACACCUGCCCCAUUGGAACUGCUUAGUACGGGACAAGAAUUACUGUUACUACUUUCAAGAGACCAAAUGAAUAUUUUCUUCCUUAAUAAAAUGGUAACCUCUAAGCUAUCCAGAGGUUUUAGUCAGGGAAGAGAUAGGUGUUAUAUCAUUUGUAAUUUUUUAUCACAAUAUCGUUACCUGUCUAUUUAAGUAUUCAGCAUAUAAUAUGUAUAUGUAUAUGUAUAUGUAUAUGUAUAUGUAUAUGUAUAUGUAUACUUAUGUGCACCUGUAUAUGUAUGUGUGUGUAUUGUUAUGGCUGCAAUGCUUGUAUCCUCCAACCCCAAAUUCAAUUCUUUGGGGAAAUCCUAACCCCAAAGAUGAUGAUAUUUGUAGGCAAAGCCUGUUGGGUGAUUAGGUCAUGAGUGGGGAACCCACACAAAUGGGAUUAGUGCUAAAGAGACCCCACAGAGUUCCCUAGCCUCUUGAAUCUUCCAGAAUACUACAAGAAGUCUACAACACAGAAGCUGGCUUUUUGACCUCCAACUUCCAGCCUCCAAAACUGUGAGCAAUACAGUUGUUGUUUGUAAGCUGCCCGGUCUGUGGUAUUGUUAUAUACAUCGCAUAUUUCUAUAGCAGCCUGAAUGGACUCACAUAUAUGCAUAUGCGGAUAGGUACUUAGGUAGCUAGCUAGCUAGCUAGUCAGACAGGUAGAUAGAUAUCCAUGUAACUAACACUCCGAUCAAGAUAUGGAAUAUUGCCAUCACCCCAAAAUGUCCCUGUGUAUUUCUUUCCAGUCUGUCAUCCUCUCCUCUGGAGUCAAACCCUAUUCUGACUUUUAUCCCUGUGAACCAGUUUGUCUGUUCUUGGACUUCCAUAUAGAUGGACUCAUACAGAAAACACUUUUUACUUUUGGCUUUUUUAGUUCUAUGUAGUGUUUUUGAGAUUCAUCCAUGUUGUUGCAGGCAUUAGUCAUCUGGUUUUUUUCAUUCCUGGAUUAUUCCAUUGUGUGAAUAUAACACGUUGUCUCUUGUUCAUGGGCAUUUGCGUUAUUUCCAGUGUUGUUUGUAAUUUGAAGUGCUUCAGUUGAGAUGGCAUGGUAUAUAUGCGUUUGCAUUAGAUGACUUUAUUCUACAUCUUAGGAUAUGUCACAUUUUAUAGGCCUUUCCAAGCUUAAAUGAAUAGGGUAUAAGAAUCCAUUAAACCUAGAUUGUAUGCUUCAGAAUGGAACUUUAGAUUCUAAAGGAAAGAUAGAUGAUAGAUAGAUAGAUAGAUAGAUAGAUAGACAGAUAGAUAGACAGAGGUGUAGAUAGAUUCCAAAAUAGCCCAUUUACAGUUGUAGAUUCCUAGGUUUUUUGUUUGCCUGACUCCUGCCAGUGAAAUAUUGUUGCAUUUAUCCUAAGGGGAUCUUGCUGUCAGAGCACUUAGGACAGCGGGCUGACACUUUUUGAGUUUACUCAUUAGUUUAUAAACUGUUACACCUGUUUGAUAAUAAAUGCUUAUAUGUGUGAAAGAA